rnacentral:rRNA from 1 species
GAUGAACGCUGGCGGCGUGCCUAAUACAUGCAAGUCGAGCGAACAGACGAGGAGCUUGCUCCUCUGACGUUAGCGGCGGACGGGUGAGUAACACGUGGAUAACCUACCUAUAAGACUGGGAUAACUUCGGGAAACCGGAGCUAAUACCGGAUAAUAUAUUGAACCGCAUGGUUCAAUAGUGAAAGACGGUUUUGCUGUCACUUAUAGAUGGAUCCGCGCCGCAUUAGCUAGUUGGUAAGGUAACGGCUUACCAAGGCAACGAUGCGUAGCCGACCUGAGAGGGUGAUCGGCCACACUGGAACUGAGACACGGUCCAGACUCCUACGGGAGGCAGCAGUAGGGAAUCUUCCGCAAGGGGCGAAAGCCUGACGGAGCAACGCCGCGUGAGUGAUGAAGGUCUUCGGAUCGUAAAACUCUGUUAUUAGGGAAGAACAAAUGUGUAAGUAACGAUGCACGUCUUGACGGUACCUAAGCAGAAAGCCACGGCUAACUACGG